rnacentral:rRNA from 1 species
GACGAACGCUGGCGGCGUGCUUAACACAUGCAAGUCGAACGGUGAACCUCUUUCGGGAGGGGAUCAGUGGCGAACGGGUGAGUAACACGUGGGCAACCUGCCCCCGGCUCUGGGAUAACUCCAAGAAAUUGGGGCUAAUACCGGAUAUGACCGCUGGCCGCACGGUCUGGUGGUGGAAAGAUUUAUCGGCUGGGGAUGGGCCCGCGGCCUAUCAGCUUGUUGGUGGGGUAGUGGCCUACCAAGGCGACGACGGGUAGCCGGCCUGAGAGGGUGACCGGCCACACUGGGACUGAGACACGGCCCAGACUCCUACGGGAGGCAGCAGUAGGGAAUCUUGCGCAAUGGGCGAAAGCCUGACGCAGCGACGCCGCGUGCGGGAAGAAGGCCUUCGGUU